CCCUUAGAUGUUCUGGGCCGCACGCGUGCUACACUGAGUGGAUCAGCGGGUCAGGUUGCGCGAAAGUGUUUCCUAAUCUUGAAAUCCGCUCGUGAUGAGGAUUGACGGUUGCAAUUUUCCGUCAUGAACGAGGAAUACCUUGUAAGCGCGGGUCAUCAUCCCGCGCUGAAUACGUCCCUGCCCUUUGUACACACCGCCCGUCGCUCCUACCGAUUGAGUGGUCCGGUGAGGCUUUGGGAUCUGAGCGGAAAGAGCGUUUCGCUGUUUCUGCUCGGAAAACUCAGUCGAACCUUAUCAUUUAGAGGAAGGAGAAGUCGUAACA
rnacentral:rRNA from 1 species